rnacentral:rRNA from 1 species
UACGGAGGAUGCGAGCGUUAUCCGGAUUUAUUGGGUUUAAAGGGUGCGUAGGCGGGAUGCCAAGUCAGCGGUAAAAAUGCGGUGCUCAACGCCGUCGAGCCGUUGAAACUGGCGUUCUUGAGUGGGCGAGAAGUAUGCGGAAUGCGUGGUGUAGCGGUGAAAUGCAUAGAUAUCACGCAGAACCCCGAUUGCGAAGGCAGCAUACCGGCGCCCUACUGACGCUGAGGCACGAAAGCGUGGGUAUCGAACAGG